UGUGUAGGCGGUUCUUUAAGUUUGGUGUGAAAUCUCCCGGCUCAACCGGGAGGGUGCGCCGAAUACUGAGGGACUAGAGUGUGGGAGAGGAAAGUGGAAUUCCUGGUGUAGCGGUGAAAUGCGUAGAUAUCAGGAGGAACACCGGUGGUGUAGACGGCUUUCUGGACCCAUAACUGACGCUGAGACACGAAAGCUGGGUAGAAC
rnacentral:rRNA from 1 species